ACUGGGCACAGUAGUGCACACCUGUAGUCACAGCUACUCGUGAAGUUAAGGCAGGAGGACCACUUGAGCCCAGGAGUUCUGGGUUAUAGUGUGCUGUGUUGAUCAGGCAUCCACAAUAAGUUUAGCAUCAAUGUAGUGACCUCCUGGGAGGGAGGGACUAGCAGGUUGCCUAAGGAGGGGUGAAGUGGUCCAGGUUAGAAAUGGAACAGGCCAAAACUCCCAUGCUGAUGGGUCGUGGGAUCACGCCUGUGAAUAGCCACUGCAUUCCAGCCUGGGCAACAUAGUGAGACUCCAUCUCUA
ensembl:misc_RNA Metazoa_SRP Metazoan signal recognition particle RNA